GUGCUCGCUUCGGCAGCGCAUAUAUUAAAAUUGGAAUGAUACAGAGAAGAUUAGCAUGGCUCCUUGCGCAGAAAGUUAAGAACAUUCCGCUUUCAAAUUCCCU